rnacentral:rRNA from 1 species
GCCGCAAGGUUAAAACUCAAAUGAAUUGACGGGGGCCCGCACAAGCGGUGGAGCAUGUGGUUUAAUUCGAUGCAACGCGAAGAACCUUACCUGGUCUUGACAUCCACAGAACUUUCCAGAGAUGGAUUGGUGCCUUCGGGAACUGUGAGACAGGUGCUGCAUGGCUGUCGUCAGCUCGUGUUGUGAAAUGUUGGGUUAAGUCCCGCAACGAGCGCAACCCUUAUCCUUUGUUGCCAGCGGUUAGGCCGGGAACUCAAAGGAGACUGCCAGUGAUAAACUGGAGGAAGGUGGGGAUGACGUCAAGUCAUCAUGGCCCUUACGACCAGGGCUACACACGUGCUACAAUGGCGCAUACAAAGAGAAGCGACCUCGCGAGAGCAAGCGGACCUCAUAAAGUGCGUCGUAGUCCGGAUUGGAGUCUGCAACUCGACUCCAUGAAGUCGGAAUCGCUAGUAAUCGUGGAUCAGAAUGCCACGGUGAAUACGUUCCCGGGCCUUGUACACACCGCCCGUCACACCAUGGGAGUGGGUUGCAAAAGAAGUAGGUAGCUUAACCUUCGGGAGGGCGCUUACCACUUUGUGAUUCAUGACUGGGGUGAAGUCGUAACAAGGUAACCGUAGGGGAACCUGCGGUUGGA